CGGCCGAAGCCCGCCCUUCGCCAUUUCCUGGAGAUCUCGUCUGUUCGUGAUAAGUCACCUCGACUUCUGUGCUUCUGAAAAUAAGUUUAAUUAGCCUUGAUCUUAAAAGGUUAUUUUCACAGGACACAGAAUUCUAGGUUGAUGUUUUCUUUUUCCCUUCAGCACUUCGGAGACGCCCGUCCACCGUGUCCCGGCGCUGCUGUUCCUGACUGGAGGCCGCGGUGACCCUUGGCUUAGUUCUGCAACGUGUAAUGGGUCUUCUUGGUUUUUUUUUGGCCGCUUUUAUGGUAUCAUUAGUUUUUAACGAAAUCCUUGGUUUUCCCGUAUCACUAGUUUUUAGAAAUUUGCUUAUGAUGUGCUUUAAUAUGGUUUUAUUUUCAUUUAUAUUGUUUGAGUAUUUUGAGUUUCUUGGACUUGAGAGUUUCUGGUUUUGAUCAAUUUGGAAAACUUUUGAUCAUUAUUCUUCAAAACAUUUUCUGCCACCUUUCUGGGACUCCAAUUUGGUGUUCGGUUUAUAGGUAUUUAUAUUAGCCUGUUAUUGUACCUUAGGUCAUUGAGGUUCUGCUCAUUUUUUAAAUACUUUUUCUAACUAUGCUUCAUUUCAGAUAGAUUCUGUUACAUGUCUUCAAACUGAGUGGUCUUUGUUUCUGCAGCAUUUGGUCUGCUGUGAAGGCCAUCAGUGACUGUUCCAUUCAGAUAAUACGUAUAACGUGACUCUGGAAGUUAUAUUUGGUUCUUCAUGUAUUUUAUUUUUUCCGAGUAUUACGUUCAAAAUGUUCCUUUCAGUCAUUAAGUAUAUUUAUGAUAGUUGCUUUAAAGUACUCAUCUAUUAAUUCCAUCAUCUCUUCCAUUUCCAGGUGUGUGUGUUGACCAGCUUUUCUCCCAAGUCCCAUUUUCUCCCUGCUUCUUCACGUCUAUUAACUUGUGCUUGGACGCUGACCAUCGCGGUGUUAUGCUGUUGAACACCUGGAUUUUAUUAUCCUCCUUUACAGACUGUUGUACUUUGCUUGGUAGGAAUUUGGGUAACUUGCUUAUCGACUCCAUCCUUUUGAGGCUUGGUUUAAGGUUUACUGGGGCAGGUCUAGAGUAGCUUUUGUUCUAGGACUAGUUGAGCUCCUCGCCUAAGGGAUGACCCCUUUAGGGUCUUUAGCAAAUGUCUUGAGUUUUUCAAUGAGGUCUCUUUGCUCCAGCUUGACGGAAUCAGGUGUGUGCUCUGGGAGGUUCUCAGUGCACGGCUCCCUGGUCUCCUAUGCGUACAUAGUUGGCAUUCGACAGCAGACCCAAGGAUGUGCUUACGAGAUUUCUGGAAUUUUUCUCUCUACAUCGUUCCCUAGCCUGUUCUCUGCGGACUCCAGGCACCCCAGCCUCCGCAGUUCCCACCUCUGUCUUCCCAGCUCAGUAAGGCCGAUGCUCUGCCUGGGCCCCUUCUCCCCGGGGUGCAAUCCGAAAACUAGAAAGCCCAAAUGAUCUCAAUCUUCUCCUCAUUCUCACCCUGUCACGGCGACGGUCCUAUCGUCCCCUGUCUGAGAACAGCCCCUUCGUGUGUGUCCUUCAGCGUCUUAGUCUUUUAUCCUGGGGGACGAGUCUGGUACCAGUUGCUUCGACAUGGCUAGAAGUCAUCAGAAAAGUCAACUUUUCUGAUUUUCUCAUUUUUCCAACAAAAUUAUAUUCGUUUUUAGUCAAAGAAGCACAACAGUGAUGUGGAUCCGUAUACAUAAAGAAAAAUCUGCGGCUCUCGUUUUCCUAAAUCCAUCAGAAACAAACCCUUUGUACUUUCAGCCAGGUUCUCACAGUAAAGAAAGGGACUUGUUCCUCACGUCCCUGACCAGGCCCUCGUGUCAGAGUCUGGGCGCUGCGUCACCCGAGGCCACUCCCUGCACAUAACCUUUCCUCCAUGGCAUUUUCACGGAACCCACAUAUAUUCUGGGGUUUCAUGUGGCCUCGUCCCUAUAAUUUAAAGUUAUAUUUUAAAAACAAAUCACCCCUAGAACUUGAAAACAUACAUAUAAAAUCACUAUAUCCUAUUUCCAAAGAUUCAUACAAUGGCAGCCAUAAAAAUAUCUGAAACUCUCUUUUAUUUGUAGAAUUCUCAAACUUUAGUGAUAUUGUCUCUUUUAAUUAUAAUUUCUUCUUUGAGUUCCGCACCAUCCGGCCUGCCGGCCAUGGUACCUGAUGGGCUUCUGGUUCCGCCUCACAGGUAAACUCAGCUUCUCUGCAAAGGGUGGAGGAUCCAGAAGUUUCCAAAUGUUCCUAAACCUUCACAAAGAAAAAUACUCCGAGAAACCUAGAAUUAUAGUUUUUCUCUUAUUCUGGCUGCUUUCCUUGUAUAAAAUACUCACUGAGAAUCUUUCAUUACUAAAAAUCUCCACCUCAUCUCAGACAGAUAGAAAGUAUAUUUAGAGGCACAGUUGGGUAUGUCGGAAAGAUUAUCUUUCCAUAGAGAGACAGCAGAGUAGGGGGAAUUUAGGCCACACACAAACAUGGGUUCCAGUAUUCACUUGCAAUAUAAUGUCAGGGAAGUUAUUUAAUUAAUCCAAAUCUUUGAUCUUGGAAUUUCUCAUCCAUAAAGUCCAAAUGAUAAUAUCUAGGGCUAAAAUUAUCUUUAGACACCGAAUGAGAGUAAGUAUAGAGCCCAGCAAACAGUAGGCACUCAGUAAGUAUCAACUUCCUUUUUGGGACAAGAAACUUAAUCUUUUGGAGCCUUUCCUCAUUUGCAAAAUAAAAAUUAUUAUAACGUCUUUAUAGGUUACUGCUGCGGUUUGAAUGUUUGUGCCUCUGGAACUGACGUUGAAACCUGACCCCACACUGAGAGUCAGCAGCAUCGUGAGGGGGCGGGUCAUGAGGGUGUCGCCUUGUAAACGGGUUAAUCCACUCAUGGGCUCAUGGAUUCCUGGGCUGGCUCAUUACCAGAUGGGUUAUCACAGCCUGGGUCAGUUAUCACAGAGUGGGUCAGUUAUCACAGAGUGGGUCAGUUAUCACGGAGUGGGUCAGUUAACACAGUGGUGGGUCAGUUAUCACGGAGCGGGUCAGUUAUAGAAGCCAGUUUGACUUUCUCGUGACCCUGGCCAUGGGACUCCCUGCACCACCCCAGGGCUCUGCAGAGUCCCGACCAGCAAGAAGUCUCUCCCCAGAUACAGACCCUCAGCCUUGGACUUCUCCUCCUCCACAACUUUCAGAAAUAAAUUUCUUUUCUUUAUAAAUUAUAUAGUCUUGGGUAUUUGGUUAUAUUACAGCAACAGAAGAAACGGACUAUGGCAGCUACUGUGAAAAUUAAGGCUGUUUCCUCGUAGGUGUGUUACAGUCUAGCAUACAGUAGACACAAGCAAACAGCAUGUUUGGCAAGAAUUCUCGAGGUAACAGAAGGCCCUACAGUGGCUUUAAAUCACAACCCUGUCUCAGUUUCGAAAUGUGAACAUCCAGUCUAGGGUAGUCUCAAACUCUGAACCUGAUUCAAAGUCCGAUGUCCUCUCCUCCCCGAGACCAUCUGGAGCCCCGAAGCCGGCAGAGUGAGCUGCAUGGAUGUUUUGAAUGGAUUUUAACACAUUUGUCCUGAAAAUGACUCAGAAAAAUUCCCAAAGAGUUGCUCCAGGGCCAUUUGAGAAACACGUGGAUUUGGGGCUGGUUCCCAGGCAGAGCCCUGCUCCGUGCAGACCCGACGGGGAGAGGAGGUCCUGACCCAGCAGCACCAGGGGCGCCUCCGGGACCUCGUCCCUGCCAAGGAAAUGGUGACUUGGACUCACGGCAAACGGCGAUUAGAGGAGGGAGGUGGAGUCCAGGCCGAGAUGAGCCUCAUGUCACGGAGAGGACACCGAGGUCACUUCCCUGAGGCCACCGGGAGGAACAGUGGAGUGAGGGGCAGACGUCUGUCUUCAGCUGACACAGGACGCACGUCCCUCAAGUGGUCUUCAAAAUCUGCCCCCUUCUAAGUGGAUAAAAACCAAGUGAGGUUCACAAGAGGUGAUUUGGUGCAGGGUUUUAUACUUUCCAGGAAUAGUUUUUAACAUGUUCAUAUUCGCAAGGCCUCUUCCCGGGAACACAAAGGUGUGUUAGGUGUCGUCUCUGCUUUUAGGGAGCUAAGGAUCUUUUUUUUUUUUUUUUUUUUUU